CUCCACCCUUUGCCUACCUUACCUCUGUUGCUUCGGCGCCGCGGCGGCCUCGCGCCGCCGCCCGCCGGAGGACCCUCAAACUCCAGUCAGUGAACGUCGCAGUCUGAAAACAAGUCUAAUAAACUAAAACUUUCAACAACGGAUCUCUUGGUUCUGGCAUCGAUGAAGAACGCAGCGAAAUGCGAUAAGUAAUGUGAAUUGCAGAAUUCAGUGAAUCAUCGAAUCUUUGAACGCACAUUGCGCCCUUUGGUAUUCCGAAGGGCAUGCCUGUUCGAGCGUCAUUACAACCCUCAAGCUCCGCUUGGUAUUGGGCACCGUCCGCCUCGGCGGACGCGCCUCGAAGACCUCGGCGGCGGCGUCAAGCCCUCAAGCGUAGUAGAAUCUAUCUCGCUUUGGAGGCGCUGGGCGUCGCCCGCCGGACGAACCUUCUGAACCCACUUCUCAAGGUUGACCUCGGAUCAGGUAGGAAUACCCGCUGAACUUAAGCAUAUCAAU
rnacentral:rRNA from 1 species